ensembl:lincRNA
AUGGAACAGGUGCCGUUUCUCCCUGCUGUUCCCGCACGCACGUGCACUCACACUUGCACACACGACACACGCGCACACACACGCACACCUUACCACCACACGUGUGCACACGCAUGUGCAGUCACAUAUGUGCACACAACACACGCGCACACACAUGUACACUCACAGACAUGCACAACACGCACGUGCACUCACACACACAUGUACACUCACAGACAUGCACAACACACGCACACGCACUCACACUUGCACACACAACACACGUGCACACACACACGUACACUCACAGACAUGCACAACACACGCACGUGCACUCACACUUGCACACACGACACACGUGCACACACACAUGUACACUCACAGACAUGCACAACACGCACACGUGCACUCACACUCGCACACACAACACACGUGCACACACACGUACACUCACAGACAUGCACAACACGCACACGCACUCACACUUGCACACACAACACACGUGCACUCACACACACAUGUACACUCGCACACACGUGUGCAGUCACACCCACACCCACAUGCAGUCGCAGACGUACACAUAAUACACACACACACUCACUGAUGUGGACACAACACACGCACACCACACACACGUGCACCCACAGCCAUGCACACAAGACAGACACACGGGCACGUGCGUUCACACCCCGCGGCAGACCUGCACGUGCACACUGCUGGCAUGCAGGCUUCCCAGGGACAAACCGGCUCCCAGGCGGCCUGUGCAGGUUUGAGAGAAAGAGAGCCCUGGGGCGGGGAGGCGGAGCUGGGGGUACCUGGCGGCAGGGAGAAGCUGGGGCUCCGGCGGGUGCCAGGCUGGCAGGGGCGGGUGCAGGGGGGAUGGCCCGGCACUGGGGGUGGCCCCCGUGGAGGCAGAGCCGUGUCACCAAGGCAGAGCCCGGGAGGCGCGGACAAGGAUGGUCCCGCCGCCCCGGCUCCCAGGGGACGUCCUGCGAAAUGAAUCAGCAGCCGCCCUGAGCAGGCUGAUUAAAAUGAAAAUGGCAAGGCACAUGUCUGGGCGGAACUGGAGCUCAGCUCCGCUGCCUGUCUGGCAAGCAUGCUCAAUAUAGCUCUUGCUAAUAAUGGCUUGCUGCCUUUCGGGUUUUUUUUUCUUAAAAAAAAAGGUAUCGCCCUCUCCCCGCCUCAACCGACUGGUGUUGGAGUGUGUGUGUGCACUUGCAUGUAUGUGUGCCUGUGUGUGUGUGCUUGUGUGUGUGUGAGCGUGUGUGAGCUUGUCUGUGUGUGCUUGUGUGUGUGCCUGUGUGUGUGUGCAUGUGCUUGUGUGUGUGUGCACACGCUUGUGUGUGUGCUUGUGCGGGUGUGUGCACAUGCUUGUGUGUGUGUGUGUGUGUGUGUGUGUGUGUGUGUGUGUGUGUGGUUGGGGGAGGUGGCAAUGAAUUGUUCGAUUCUUUAUAUCUCUGCUGCUCGCUCACAGACUGCCUGCCUGGCGACACCAGGACCGUGAAGCUGCACUUACCUCUGUCUUUCUUCUGGGUAGAGGGGCAGCUGAUAAGUCUCAGGGUAAAACAGCCAGUUAGAAACUCAAGCUGCCUAAGAGACCAAGACAACAUUUUUUCACACCUAGAUACGAUCAUUUCUAGCCAAAUCCUGGGCAACAGACCUUGAGAGAUCUCUGAUGCUGCCUCCCAGGCUCACAGUUGGACGCUCUGAAAUGCAGCCUCCAAAGAAACCUAUUUCUGUUUCGAGCAUUUGCAACCAGGCUGUUUCUGUGUCCUAGGUAUUAUGCAACAGAAAGCACCGAAAAUAGAAAAAUGAAAGGUGAUGAACGGAUGCAAUCAUCUAACAAAAUUUAGUAAAUCUCUGACUUCUGAAAAAUUUUCUUGGGUAUAGCUUUAAGAUUGCCCUCAGAUAAACCAUACUUUUCAAUAUCUCUGUCAAAUUUUCCAGGUUUUUUUAAAAAAGGCAUUCUGGAAAUUAGAUCAUUAUCAUCUCUCAGCAAAAAUGCCUUAAAAAUUAGAAGGAAGGACAUUCUGCUCUGCUUUUCCCGUCCAUUUCAGUCCGCCUGACUGACAGGCUCUCAGUUUGCUGUCUGAAUGUGCCCUGUUAGAUUUUGGUUUCUUUUGGCAACAGAUGCAUGACUGCCUUGUGCGAUGAUCUGCACACACAUACAUGCUUCUGUUCACAUACACACGCGCCUCUUGCCUCCAGUGGCUCCUGUCUUGGGGAUGUGCUCCAUGCCCCCGCCCCGCUCUGCUGCUGCGGCUGUGAUUCAGAAAUCAAUAGAGCUGCCCUAAUGGAGACUCCACUCGGCGAGCAGCUGCAGCCUCCCUCCCUCUCCCUCCUCCCUCUCACACCCAGAGAACUAAUGACGUCUGUGCAGCUUUUUCAGCUGAUUGGGCACCGCAUCGGAUGUUCCAUGGAGCAAAGAAUAGGCAUCAUUUAUAGUCGGUGGAAAAAAAUGGGAGCAUGUAUUCUCCUGUGUCUAAGACCCUGAUCCCGAGCCCCCCAGACACCCAGCCGUGCUGACAAAGGUCGAUGCUGCAGGUUGUGUGGUCACGAUGGAGUCAGGCGGCCUCCACACCCACCGCAGACCUGUAACCACACACAAUGGGAACGGUUUCCAUUUUUCAAAGGACAAAGGCUUCCUCGGAAUAAGAGGCAGAAUAAAAUUUAGAGAAAAAAAAAUGGAUGUUUAGGUUAAAUAGUGGUUCCAGGACUCUAUUUAAGGGUUUGAAUAUAUGUGACUAUUUAAAAAUACUUCCAAAUACACAUUCAGAAAUAAAGAGCAAAUGAAAAGUGCAUACAUGUGCCCAAAUACACACACACACACGUGGUUAUUCCCUGUGGAUUUCUCUGCCUUGUCUUAGCUGUGUUAGCAGCAAGUUCAGGUUUUAUCCUCAAAUAUCUCAUCUUACAGUAAGUAGAAAAGAAACCUCUAACGACACUAAGCCAUGGUAUUUUAAACCACAAAUUUACAUAUGUGAAUGUCUGUCUUACAUGUGUGCGUGUCUAUAAAGAUACACUGUCUGUUAAAUACUGGGCUCCUGCCCACAUGCAGAAACAUGCACACACACACACUACACACACACAGACACACAGAAACACAAACACACGCACACACAUGGACACACAGACACAACCCUGCUUCACAAGCUGUGGGACCUAACCUGCAGGUGCGUUUCACUGAGAGGAAAGGAGCGCAGCACCUGGGUCCCCACCUCACGGGGGGGUUGCUGGGCCCUGCAGCAGGCACAUGCCUGCCCUCGCCACGCGGCCAGCACAUGGACCCGCCCCACACAGGAUCCGGCUCCAGCCACGCCUUCGUCCUCUUUCCAGCCGCCCUCUGAGACUGAGCCUGCAGCACUCAGAGGGCUAGGAGGAGGGAGGAUGAGAGACUCGUGAAGCCUCGGGACUCACAGCAGCGCAGCGCUGCCGUCGGCGUCUUGCAGUUACCCUGCAGAUGCACCUAAUAAACUAUGAUUUAUUGAAGAAUGGAGUCCGGGCCUCUGCAGAAUGGCACAGUGAGGAACACUCUCCAGGACACGCAUGAGAUUGGGAGCACUUCAAAGAAUACUGUGAGAAGUCUCUCUGUAGUUUGUAAUUAAACCUUAAAAUGAAACAUUUUUUGAUUCCAAAUAUCUAUCAAAUUCUUAAACUAUAUACUUUAUGCUAAUACUAAUAUACUUUAUGCUGCCCUCAGAAUUCCAUUGUACAGAUUGUAUAGAUUAAAGCUUUUAUUAGAAAAUUCAUAGCUUAUCUCCAUAAUUAAUUAAUUAAUUAGUAAGAGAAUAGAAAUUGAGUAUGCAGCCCCUUCUAAUGAGUAUGUCCCUCAGUUUAACACACAGAAACUCCCAGGUACUCUUGUGUCCUG